rnacentral:rRNA from 1 species
CCUACGGGAGGCAGCAGUGAGGAAUAUUGGUCAAUGGGCGGGAGCCUGAACCAGCCAAGUCGCGUGAGGGAAGACGGUCCUAUGGAUUGUAAACCUCUUUAGGCGGGGAGCACUGCCGGGCACGCGUGCCCGGAGGGAGAGUCCCCGCCGACUAAGCAUCGGCUAACUACGUGCCAGCAGCCGCGGUCAUACGGAGGAUGCGAGCGUUAUCCGGAUGUAUUGGGUUUAAGGGGUGCGUAGGCGGAUUUUUAAGUCAGCGGUAAAAUGUCCGGGCUCAACCCGGGCCGGCCGUUGAAACUGGGGAUCUGGAGUGGGAGAGAAGUAUGCGGAAUGCGUGGUGUAGCGGUGAAAUGCAUAGAUAUCACGCAGAACACCGAUUGCGAAGGCAGCAUACCGGCGCCCGACUGACGCUGAGGCACGAAAGCGUGGGGAUCGAACAGGAUUAGAUACCCGGGUAGUC